rnacentral:lncRNA from 1 species
CAGGCUUCUACAUCGGUGGAGUGGCAAGGUGAUGGGGUGCUACCAUGCUGGCUUCAAAUUCCCAUGAGGACUUUAUUUAAAAUCGGCUCUAACUGGGAAAGUAAUGCGAAUUUUUACUCGAGACACUAACCUCACACCCUCUUUUACUGGAAGUCAUCCUUUUUGUUUUCUACAGCUGGUACGAUAAAGAGGUUGCAAACAAGGCACGUUUUAGUUGGACUAAAAAACGCCCCGCAAGAUUCCAAUACAGAGUUAAAGCUCUGCAGAGGGAGACGGAAAGAGGAGGGAACAGAAGCCUCUUCUUAGGAAGAAAGAGACAGCUUCGCAAAGGUGUGCUUGCCAGGCAGAUUAAAAGCAAACCGCUCAGCAUCUGCGGCGACUUUGGGCUAAGGUGGAAGGAAGCAGCGGCUGAAAGAGAGCUACAGGAUGAAAGAUGAAAAUGAACACCCAUCUAGGAGAACAGUGAACUCGCAAAAAAAGAUGACUAUCGGUUGUGUCAAGCUGACAACAAGAAUUGCCAUCACAAACAUUGUCAUUUCACUUUCCCAACAAAGGCACAGGUAAGUAAAUAUUUUAGACUUGCAAUUACCCCAUUUGCUGUUGUAAUGACCCAACUUUAGGGCUGUACAAU